rnacentral:tRNA from 1 species
ACUAUUUUGGCAGAUAAGUGCCUUGAAUUUAGAUUUCAUUUAUGUAGAUAAAUUUUCUACAAAUAGUA